CUACUAGAAUAUACGGGAUCCCGUCCGCUCUCCCAUAGUCAAGCUGGUAAGGGGCAGAUUAGUAGUUGGGUCGGUGACGACCA
rnacentral:rRNA from 1 species